UCAAGUCGGAUGUGAAAUCCCCGGGCUCAACCUGGGAACUGCAUUCGAAACGGCAGGCUGGAGUUUGUAGAGGGGGGUAGAAUUCCAGGUGUAGCGGUGAAAUGCGUAGAGAUCUGGAGGAAUACCGGUGGCGAAGGCGGCCCCCUGGACAAAGACUGACGCUCAGGUGCGAAAGCGUGGGGAGCAAACCGGAUUAGAUACCCUGGUAGUUCCACGCGGUAAACAAUUUGAAAUUUUGGGAGGUUGUGCCCUUGAGGCGUGGCUUCCGGAAGCUAACGCGUUAAAUCGACCGCCUGGGGAGUACGGCCGCAAGGUUAAAACUCAAAUGAAUUGACGGGGGCCCGCACAAGCGGUGGAGCAUGUGGUUUAAUUCGAUGCAACGCGAAGAACCUUACCUGGUCUUGACAUCCACAGAACUUUCCAGAGAUGGAUUGGUGCCUUCGGGAACUGUGAGACAGGUGCUGCAUGGCUGUCGUCAGCUCGUGUUGUGAAAUGUUGGGUUAAGUCCCGCAACGAGCGCAACCCUUAUCCUUUGUUGCCAGCGGUCCGGCCGGGAACUCAAAGGAGACUGCCAGUGAUAAACUGGAGGAAGGUGGGGAUGACGUCAAGUCAUCAUGGCCCUUACGACCAGGGCUACACACGUGCUACAAUGGCGCAUACAAAGAGAAGCGACCUCGCGAGAGCAAGCGGACCUCAUAAA
rnacentral:rRNA from 1 species